UGGGGAAUCUUGCACAAUGCGCGAAAGCGUGAUGCAGCAACGCCGCGUGCGGGAAGACGGCCUUCGGGUUGUAAACCGCUUUCAGUUGGGACGAAGCCUUUGCGGUUAAUAGCCGUGGAAGGUGACGGUACCUUCAGAAGAAGCCCCGGCUAACUACGUGCCAGCAGCCGCGGUAAUACGUAGGGGGCAAGCGUUGUCCGGAAUCAUUGGGCGUAAAGCGCGUGUAGGCGGCUCAGUAAGUCCGCUCUGAAAGCCCGGGGCUCAACCCCGGGAGGCGGGUGGAUACUGCUGAGCUCGAGUCCGGAAGAGGAGUGUGGAAUUCCUGGUGUAGCGGUGAAAUGCGCAGAUAUCAGGAGGAACACCAAUGGCGAAGGCAGCACUCUGGGACGGUACUGACGCUGAGACGCGAAAGCGUGGGGAGCAAACAGG
rnacentral:rRNA from 1 species